rnacentral:rRNA from 1 species
CCCAAGAGAUCGGGAUAACACCUGGAAACAGAUGCUAAUACCGGAUAACAACAGAUGAUGCCUAUCAACUGUUUAAAAGAUGGUUCUGCUAUCACUCUUGGAUGGACCUACGGUGCAUUAGCUAGUUGGUAGGGUAACGGCCUACCAAGGCGAUGAUGCAUAGCCGAGUUGAGAGACUGAUCGGCCACAUUGGGACUGAGACACGGCCCAACUCCUACGGGAGGCAGCAGGU